rnacentral:rRNA from 1 species
CGGUCCCUAUCUGCCGUGGGCGCUGGAGAAUUGAGGGGGGCUGCUCCUAGUACGAGAGGACCGGAGUGGACGCAUCACUGGUGUUCGGGUUGUCAUGCCAAUGGCACUGCCCGGUAGCUAAAUGCGGAAGAGAUAAGUGCUGAAAGCAUCUAAGCACGAAACUUGCCCCGAGAUGAGUUCUCCCUGACCCUUAAAGGGUCCUGAAGGAACGUUAAAGACGAUGACGUUGAUAGGCCGGGUGUGUAAGCGCAGCGAUGCGUUGAGCUAACCGGUACUAAUGAACCGUGAGGCUUAACCUUACAACGCCGAAGCUGUU